CGUUGGGUGUUGGUUUCCGAUCGGUUUCGUGGUAACUGCUUAUGUGAACCUAGCCACAUUUAUUUUCUAACUCGUUAAUGAAAUGCACUUGUAUAAGCGACUAUAAAGCCCCUAUGCUAGCCAGGUAACGUUAGCUAACUCUGGUAGCUGUGGUAAAGGACUGAGCGGUGUCGCAAAAAACUUUGGAGGCUAGGACCUUCCAUCGUCUUACCUGCAGAACCGACGGGGACAACCAAAACAAGGACAAAAUGCAUCACACUACGUAAACUCCCUGCUACACAUGGCUACGCCUAGAGGAUGUAAAAUGGGAAAGGAGAUCUACUUGCAGAGAAUUUGGAGGUGGGAGAGGUCUUUUCACCCAGACCUGGCCAAGUGCAGUGGGACCUCAGAGAACUACAGAGGGCUUCUUUUUGGAAUGAGUUGAUUUUGUUCUUGUAUUGACACAAAGACUUGAACGCAGGAAGCUCAAAGGAUCUACGGGACUGUUGAGCGAUUUUAAAUGCAAACGCAUAAGUAGAUUUUGAUUUUUUUUUUUUUAGUUUUUCAGUUUUUUUUUUUUAGCAUUUUUAGAAAAAAAAUAGUUUCAGGUGGACUUUUGUUUAUCAAGCUUCCUGCAAACGUUUUAAAGCCGAAUAUGUUUGUUUAGUUGUUUUCCCCUAGUUUGAUCCUCAUCCUCAGCUUCUUCCACCCACCCAGUGCCUAAAUAAGCCCUCUCGGGACAAUCACAGGAGUCUUCAGCAGCUGCUGCUCUCAAUCCUCUGCCUGUUCUCCUCCAUUCACUUCUGCUCUCAGCCUGCUGGCUAUCCACCCGCUACCUCUUUCAUUUUCUGAUCUUGUCUUUUUCCAUUCAUUUUCUGUGAGGCAUAAUCAGAGCUCAGCACAGGCACAUGCAUUGCUUAAACUGUUGUCAUGGUUAAACAAGCUUAGCUUUCUCCAUUUUAACUCAGUUUCUGUGAGCGUGUCCAUGUCUGUGCUUUUCUGUGCAAGAUCAGCAAUGUUUACAUUGCACAGGUGCCAGUGAGCAGUUUAAGAAUACAUUUAUUUAUAUUGGGGCACCAAACACAGUUGCAUUAAAGCCAUACACAAGUAUUUAUAAAUUAUCUGCACAUAUUUUUGUAUUACCUUGCACUUGUAUAGUUUUGCUUUUUUAAGCUUCUGCUGAGAUUAUGCACACAAACAACUGCAUUGUACAUUAGUGCCGAGUGAAGUUUUCUUGUCUGGACAAAAAUUCCUCAUAUUUCCAUUGUGCUGCUGCUCUGGAUUUGCUUUGCAGUGUUGGAUUCCUGUUCUAGUUUGGAGUCAUGGCCUCUCUUCCCAAAUUAACAGUGCAUUUGCCAUUUUGACGUGUAACACAGCCUUUACUGUAGGUAGACGGUAGAUCUCUGCUCCUCUCUGUCCCCCCCUCUAUUUCUGAUGCCGGGCUUCAGUGGUGGGGGGGUGGGGGGAGGAGUAGGGGGCCCUGCUCCUCCCCGCCCAUUUCGACCCAGCCGAUAUGUACCGGUGUCUGCAGCCACCACAUUCCUUGUUGGAUCCACAACCCUCUUCUUCUGCUUUACGUGCCCAUGGUUGUCAGAGUAUUUUUCAUCUGUCAUUCCCAUUUACAAUGCUGUGAUCUUCCUCUUUACUCUGGCCAACUUCUGCAUGGCUACUUUUAUGGACCCAGGAGUCUUCCCCAGAGCGGAGGAGGAUGAGGAUAAAGAGGAUGAUUUCCGCGCUCCACUCUAUAAGACAGUGGAGAUCAAAGGCAUCCAGGUGCGCAUGAAGUGGUGCUCAACGUGCCGUUUCUACCGUCCGCCACGCUGCUCGCACUGCUCAGUCUGCGACAACUGUGUGGAGGAUUUUGACCACCACUGUCCUUGGGUGAACAACUGCAUUGGUCGGAGGAAUUACCGCUAUUUCUUCCUAUUUUUGUUAUCGCUUACCACCCACAUCGUGGACGUAUUUGGCUUUGGCUUGGUGUACGUCUUGCACCACCGUCAGCAGCUGGAUACACCACACGCUGCUGUUACUAUGGCUGUGAUGUGUGUAGCUGGUCUGUUUUUUGUACCAGUUGCUGGCCUGACUGGGUUCCACAUGGUAUUGGUAGCCCGCGGCAGGACCACAAAUGAACAGGUAACAGGGAAGUUUCGAGGAGGUGUUAACCCUUUCACCAAUGGCUGCUUGCGAAAUAUUUCGCAUGUGCUCUGCAGCUCCCAAGCUCCCAGAUACUUAGGCCGGUGGCGGAGUGCUCAGGCGGUUGACGUACAGCCACCAUUUCUCAGACCACCUCUUACUGAGGCCCAGCUAGAAGCCAAGGUCCUCGACAACGGCAUCCAAAAUGACCGUCACAGCACCAGGUCCAAGAGCAGUCUAGAUCAGAUGGAGAGUCAGUCAGCUGAUGCAGAACCUCCACCUCCUCCAAAGCCAGACCUUCGUUACCCUGGUCUGCCUCGUGCUGACACAGAGGAGAGCAGUUUGUUGACUGAAGCGCCACCUACACCAUCAAUGUACAAGUACCGACCAGCUUUCAGCAGCCCAGGAAGGAACCACACCGCCCUAACACACCCCAACAAGAUGAUUCGUGGGGAGAGUCUUGACUCUCCAUCUCCCUCCAUCCUUCAUUCCAGCCGCCAGCCCAGCUACCGCUCCGAGCCGAGCAGCCUGGAUGGGGCCACGGUGCUGGGGGGAGGUGUAGGGGCGCGCAGAGUGGGAGGGGAGAGGGGUGAGGGCCCCGGGGGCCCUGGUGGGACUGCUGGGGGGGUGUCGGGGGGCAUGUCAGGUUACUCCCUCACUGGGCGCUCCUACACCUCCUACCCAUCCUCUUUGGUUCUGUCCACUGGUGGCUCGCGCUCCUCCAGCUUGCGUUCUGCUCACACGACACAUAACCCUCUGGCCACACUCCAUUCAGAAGGCACCACAGACACCAGCUACAAAAGCCUGGCCAAUCAGACGCCUCGGAACGGUAGCCUGUCCUAUGACAGCCUGCUAACGCCAUCCGAGAGCCCAGAGUUUGAGUCAGCUGCCCACGAGUUGUCGCCCCUAAAGCCUCGUGCACCCUUUCCCUCAGCGACUAUAACAGGCCAGUCUGAGGUUGCACUCAGCAGCAGUACCCCCCUGCAGGGCUACACGUCGCCCUUCCUCUCAGCUCAGAUCGCACAGCAGAGGGAGGGGCAGCUGCUCCAGGGCUCUGCCACUUUCUCCUCCCCUCACAGGGCCUACCUGCGCGCCGUCAGCCCACCCCCUCUCUCCUCCUCUGGGCCUCCUGAGACCCAACACCUGCUCAAGCAUAACCAGGACUCCUCCUUCCGAGCCCUACGUAAUCCUUCAUCCUCAUCCUCUUCCCCUGGGGCUCGCUCACCAGAGCCCCCUGUCUCCCCGCCACCUCGUGGCCUCUCCCUCAGCAAGUCCCAGUCUUACACUGGGGAGGCAGGGCCUCAGCACAAGCCUCGACCUGCAGGAGGAGGCAGUGUGCUGGGUGGGGGAGGAGCCGGAGGAGGGCAACAGGCUCCACAGUGAGUAGUGCUCCAUCUCCAGAUGUGUCAGCCUGCGACUCUUCCUCCUCUUUCUCCUUUUCCUCCUCCCUGGUUUGUGUCAGCCCUUCUCUUCCUCCCUGAUCUGUAUCCACUUCUCGCCUAGUCUUGGCCAAUCACAACACAUCCAAACCUGGGGGUGGGGUGAAGAAGGUGACGGGCGUUGGAGGGACCACCUAUGAGAUAUCGGUUUGAAUGACGUCCUUCGUGAUCUGGAAAGAGGAGGUUGAAGUCACUGGUCUACUUCCACAUACCUUAGCUGGAUACAACAUCUCUGACCUGAGCUGGAUAUUAUUCAUGACUACAGGCGCCUAAAAAUGACACGAUGGGCCUGUCUAGUACUCACCUUGUUAUCUUUGUAAUGCCAUUGGCCAUUCUUCUCUGCCAGCCUUUCACAUUUUGAUUACAGAAGACUGGGAAGACUGAUUUCACACAAUCUAUUUGUCUCCAUUUAGCCACUUUUUGAGCCAUAAACUGGUGAAAGUUUCAUCACAGUUGGGUACAGAAAUCUAGAAGUCUACAGAACACACACAUAGCUAUUCAACGAUUUGCCGUUUUAUUUUAGUACUGGAGCACAGUACAGAGUAUUGACGACAAUGUCCUACACUAUAAGAAUGGAGGACCUUUAUCCGUUGGAUGUAGAGUUCAGGAGAGAGGAUUCAGGAUGGUUGACCAAUAGAAACGUUUUCUUUCUCAGUGUCUGUGUCUGAAUGGACCACACAGCUAGUUCAUUUAUAAUAGAAAGAAGAGUCUGAACCUAUAAACACAGUAUCAUUUUAGUUUUAUAAAUCUUUUUUUAAAUAUUGUUUUAUAUAAAUGUGUAAAAUCUUACAGAAUAUUAUUGGGUCAAAUUGUCAGGUAUUGAUGAUACUGUUGUUGACGGUGGCAGAUGUACUGCGUGUAAUUAUUCUUAAAAGUGAUCAGUUGCCUGUUCUUGUAUAUAUAUGAUGGCUGCAUCAGCCACUCGUGAGCUCUGGGUGGAAUCCAAAGAGAACGGCGAUCCUUUUAUUGGACGGCUGAAACGGCAGGUAACUCCGCUUGGUCUUUGAAAGCCACAAAGAAAUUCAGAAUCACGAUUGCAGCACAAAGCAUCUUUGUGGAAUGUACGCUUGUGAUGUUUAUGCUAAAGACAUUAUGCAAAAUUUGUUUGUAGCUUUAAGAUCAUUGUCUUUUUUGGUGUUUGUUUUCCCCUCCCCGUUUUCUGUAGUUUUGUCUGUUCAGAUGCUAGCUGAACCUUAAACCUUUAACAAAUGGCCAGCCAGACAGGGCAGUGAGGGAAGGGCACAUUUAUUUCUCUAAAAAAGAUAAACAUGUAGUUCCUUAAUUUCAACCCUGUUUCUCUAAAAAAAAUUGUUUUGGAGAGAAAUAAGACGAAGUAUGACUAUUUUUGUGAAAAAAGUUUAUAAAUGAAAUUGUUAAUGCAUUAUGCCACUAAAUAGAUUUGAAGGAGGGACUGUUUUUUUUUUUUUGCCUUGAAAACAUUUAUAGUAAGAGAGUGCUUACUAAGAGUGCUUAUUAAUUUUUUAAGUAUUUUUUUAAACAUUUGAGGAAAAAAAAAUCUUUUUUUAACUUGUAUGUUUUCUUUUUUAUUACCCUCUGACAUGUUCACAAAGGAAACAUUGCAGUGACAUGUUAAAUAGUCUUUGUUAUCUGUUGAGAUCGGGCAUUACAUCAUAUUUUUCCUGUUGACGCCCGCAGUGAUGUUACAGUAGAAUGUCAAAGCUGGCUGAAUGUAGCGCGUCUUUGGGGUAGAAGCUCACGCUUGAAGCACAUUGAUGAUUCAGUCCAAGAAGCCGUGAUAAGAUUCUUCGACCCUUGCAGGCUACGUCUUCAGUGUGCAUGUGAUUUUUGUUUGUCGUGCCGAAUGCUUUACUGGUGUGCAUACUUGUGAUAUUGUCUGUAUCACCGCCCAGUUCAAGUGUGGGUGGUAACUAGAAAAGAAUCAUCGUCGAUGACACAGCUGCCAUCAUACAGUUAAAGAGAAUCGGUGUUAUUUUUCUUCCUGCUCUGGCCGAGACAAGGACGGUGGCCACUGAACAAUUUGAAAUUAGGAGCUUAGUAAGUUCACGUCUGUGUGAGGUUAGACAUCGCUGUUGUGGGCUGUAACGAAUGGAACGAGUUUCACAAAACCUGUAAUGAGUACAUUAAAGACUCCAAAAUGGCCUUAAAAGGAUUUUUAAAAGAUGUCUUCUCAGAAUAAAAAGGUCAAACUGACGAAA